rnacentral:rRNA from 1 species
CACCAGCGCCACGAGUGGGAGCCAAUAUUAUUGGGCCUAAAGCGUCCGUAGCAGGUUUAGUAAAUUACUUGUGGAAUCGGAUAGCCUAACUAUUCGGAUUGCAGGUAAGACUGCUAAACUAGAGACCGGGAGACGUUGGAGGUAUUUAGAGGGGAGCGGUAAAAUGCGAGAAUCCUCUGAGGACCACCUGUUGCGAAGGCGUCCAACAAUAACGGGUCUGACUGUGAGGGACGAAAGCUAGGGGAGCGAACCGGAUUAGAUACCCGAGUAGUCCUAGCCCUAAACGCUGUGAGCUAGGUGUUGCAUAAUCUACGGGAUUAUGCAGUAUCGUAGAGAAGUCGUUAAGCUCACCGCCUGGGAAGUACGGUCGCAAGGCUGAAACUUAAAGGAAUUGGCGGGGGAGCACCACAAGGGGUGCGGCGUGCGGUUUAAUCGAAUUCAACGCCGAAAAUCUCACCAGAGGCGACGGCAGGAUGAAAGACAGCCUAAAGGGCUUUCUUGACGAGCCGAGAGGUAGUGCAUGGCCGCCGUCAGCUCGUAUCGUGAGAUGUCCUGUUAAGUCAGGUAACGAGCAAGACCCAUACCCAUAAUUGCUAUCGGCAGUUCUACUGGACCGAGCACUUUAUGGGGACUGCCUUGGAAACAAGGAGGAAGGUGUGGGCAACGGUAGGUCUGUAUGCUCCGAAUCUUCUGGGCUACACGCGCGCAACAAUGGUUAGGACAAUGGGAUGCAACUCCGAAAGGAGAAGCUAAACCUCGAAACCUAAUCUAAGUCUAGAUCGAGGCUUGUAACUCAGCCUCGUGACACCGGAAUCCCUAGUAAUUGGUCUUCAUCAUGGACCAGUGAAUAUGUCCCUGCUCUU